rnacentral:misc_RNA from 1 species
GGUUUUUAAAGAUUAAGUUUUCUUGGUGGAGCCAUGUAUGAGUGAUUUGAUUCAAGAACUAGUUUGGAAUCGGAUGGCCUUCAAAUGAAGAAUAGUAAUUUGAUAUUGUUUCAUAGUGGUUCAUGAGCUGCACAGGAAAGCAAAUAUUUAAAUGGACUGGAUUGGGUUGGUAUGUAGACUUUUGAGGUCUCACCGCCCUCUCUCCAUCUGUCACUCUAUAGAUAUAUAGCUAAGUUCUUCGUUCCCCUCCGUGUGUAGAUCUUCUUGUAAUUGUCUAGUGCCGAAGGCAUGUAUAAGAACCAGUUGCAAGAAUUAGCUCAGAGAAGCUGCUUCAACUUGCCGUCUUAUGCUUGUAUACGGGAAGGACCAGACCAUGCCCCUCGUUUCAAAGCAACAGUCAACUUCAAUGGGGAAUCAUUUGAGAGCCCAACCUUUUGCAGUACCCUCAGACAAGCAGAGCAUGCAGCGGCCAAGGUUGCUCUUAAUAUGCUCUCCAAAAAAGGCCCUUCUAAGGCACUGGCUGCAAGAGUUUUGGAUGAAACUGGAGUUUACAAGAAUCUGCUUCAAGAGACUGCUCACAGAG